GUCUCACGUUGAUUUGGAGAGUAUGGAGAGUAAAGUAGGAAAGAAGAGGUGAAAUG
rnacentral:sRNA from 1 species